UAGGUUCAAGAUAUCAGAGUGGCUCAU
rnacentral:sRNA from 1 species